rnacentral:rRNA from 1 species
CAAGUCGAGCGAAUCAAUGGGAGCUUGCUCCCUGAGAUUAGCGGCGGACGGGUGAGUAACACGUGGGUAACCUGCCUGUAAGAUUGGGAUAACUCCGGGAAACCGGAGCUAAUACCGGAUAACAUUUUGAACCGCAUGGUUCAAAAUUGAAAGAUGGUUUCGGCUAUCACUUACAGAUGGACCCGCGGCGCAUUAGCUAGUUGGUGAGGUAACGGCUCACCAAGGCAACGAUGCGUAGCCGACCUGAGAGGGUGAUCGGCCACACUGGGACUGAGACACGGCCCAGACUCCUACGGGAGGCAGCAGUAGGGAAUCUUCCGCAAUGGACGAAAGUCUGACGGAGCAACGCCGCGUGAACGAUGAAGGCCUUCGGGUCGUAAAGUUCUGUUGUUAGGGAAGAACAAGUACCAGAGUAACUGCUGGUACCUUGACGGUACCUAACCAGAAAGCCACGGCUAACUACGUGCCAGCAGCCGCGGUAAUACGUAGGUGGCAAGCGUUGUCCGGAAUUAUUGGGCGUAAAGCGCGCGCAGGUGGUUUCUUAAGUCUGAUGUGAAAGCCCACGGCUCAACCGUGGAGGGUCAUUGGAAACUGGGGAACUUGAGUGCAGAAGAGGAAAGUGGAAUUCCAAGUGUAGCGGUGAAAUGCGUAGAGAUUUGGAGGAACACCAGUGGCGAAGGCGACUUUCUGGUCUGUAACUGACACUGAGGCGCGAAAGCGUGGGGAGCGAACAGGAUUAGAUACCCUGGUAGUCCACGCCGUAAACGAUGAGUGCUAAGUGUUAGAGGGUUUCCGCCCUUUA